CUUGUGGGGGGAUUAGUGGCGAACGGGUGAGUAACACGUGAGUAACCUGCCCUUAACUCUGGGAUAAGCCUGGGAAACUGGGUCUAAUACCGGAUAUGACUCCUCAUCGCAUGGUGGGGGGUGGAAAGCUUUAUUGUGGUUUUGGAUGGACUCGCGGCCUAUCAGCUUGUUGGUGAGGUAAUGGCUCACCAAGGCGACGACGGGUAGCCGGCCUGAGAGGGUGACCGGCCACACUGGGACUGAGACACGGCCCAGACUCCUACGGGAGGCAGCAGUGGGGAAUAUUGCACAAUGGGCGAAAGCCUGAUGCAGCGACGCCGCGUGAGGGAUGACGGCCUUCGGGUUGUAAACCUCUUUCAGUAGGGAAGAAGCGAAAGUGACGGUACCUGCAGAAGAAGCGCCGGCUAACUACGUGCCAGCAGCCGCGGUAAUACGUAGGGCGCAAGCGUUAUCCGGAAUUAUUGGGCGUAAAGAGCUCGUAGGCGGUUUGUCGCGUCUGCCGUGAAAGUCCGGGGCUCAACUCCGGAUCUGCGGUGGGUACGGGCAGACUAGAGUGAUGUAGGGGAGACUGGAAUUCCUGGUGUAGCGGUGAAAUGCGCAGAUAUCAGGAGGAACACCGAUGGCGAAGGCAGGUCUCUGGGCAUUAACUGACGCUGAGGAGCGAAAGCAUGGGGAGCGAACAGGAUUAGAUACCCUGGUAGUCCAUGCCGUAAACGUUGGGCACUAGGUGUGGGGGACAUUCCACGUUUUCCGCGCCGUAGCUAACGCAUUAAGUGCCCCGCCUGGGGAGUACGGCCGCAAGGCUAAAACUCAAAGGAAUUGACGGGGGCCCGCACAAGCGGCGGAGCAUGCGGAUUAAUUCGAUGCAACGCGAAGAACCUUACCAAGGCUUGACAUGAACCGGAAAUACCUGGAAACAGGUGCCCCGCUUGCGGUCGGUUUACAGGUGGUGCAUGGUUGUCGUCAGCUCGUGUCGUGAGAUGUUGGGUUAAGUCCCGCAACGAGCGCAACCCUCGUUCUAUGUUGCCAGCGCGUUAUGGCGGGGACUCAUAGGAGACUGCCGGGGUCAACUCGGAGGAAGGUGGGGACGACGUCAAAUCAUCAUGCCCCUUAUGUCUUGGGCUUCACGCAUGCUACAAUGGCCGGUACAAAGGGUUGCGAUACUGUGAGGUGGAGCUAAUCCCAAAAAGCCGGUCUCAGUUCGGAUUGGGGUCUGCAACUCGACCCCAUGAAGUCGGAGUCGCUAGUAAUCGCAGAUCAGCAACGCUGCGGUGAAUACGUUCCCGGGCCUUGUACACACCGCCCGUCAAGUCACGAAAGUUGGUAACACCCGAAGCCGGGGCCUAACCCCUGUGGAGG
rnacentral:rRNA from 1 species